rnacentral:lncRNA from 1 species
CAGCACCUCCCUGGUUGCCGUGGCGACCGAGGGCGCGCGGCGGGAGCUCCCCGCCCAGCGCUUGCUGCUCCUGAGGUCGGUUCGCGCCAGCUGCUCCGGCCAGGCGCGGCGCCGGACUCGGGACGUGGGGCCUGCACAGGCCGGCAGCGGGGCUCCGGGGAGAGCGGGGAACCGCGCCCGAGAGGAGGCAGUCAAGGCCCGGGGCCUGCCCGCUCUGGGAGAGACCCGGUUUCAAUCUUCGGAAGCUGCCUUUGCUGCGUCCUGGAUGCCCAGUGCCUGGUAAAACAGGUCUCCAGCGUGGCUAAGACCCCAUUGAGACUGAUGGGCUCAACGUCGGAAGGACCCCAGGGGCACUCACAGUCUGGUAGACAACCCAGCUUCGGAAGCGAGCCCCAGAGAUGACUCUGGUCGUAUUCUGUCGAGUAAAAAAAGCAAACAGCCUCCUUCCCAAGGGCGACAGCCAUCUGUCCUACGUGCACCUGAGGUCAAGGCCCCAUGGACACCAGCGCUGCUCUAACGGAAGAGGCAUUUUUAAGAGAGGAAAGUGGGCAUAUGUUAAUACUCGACUUUCUCCUGAAGUAGCGUGAUCUAGUGGGAAAAGUAUGGGUAAUGAAUGGCUGGUGAGACAGGAACCUUGCUUGGUGUCCUGGCUCUGCCUCAGCUUCAGUGCAAAGCUCGUGAUGGGCACUUAGCUCCGUGAGGCAAGAAACUUAGAUUCUGGGAGCCUUGAUUUCCUUCCAUAAAUUCUAGAUAAAAUAGCUAUUAUAGAGUUGGGAGUAGUAGUAUGAGAAAUACAUGUACAUUUCCUAACGUGGUGUGGCACAAAAUCUUAAGUCUCCCUUUGCCCUUCUAUCUCUCAUUCUCCUCUAUUGUAUUUAUUUCAGUUCCUGUCUUAUCUUCCCGUGGAAAUUCUAAGUUCUUUGGACUGCCUUGUGUAUUAUGAAUCGUCCCUUCACAGUGCCUAGCAUGCAGUCGGCGCUCAAUUGACCGAGUGACUUAACGUCUUCUCCCCCUUUAUGAGACUGAUUUUGAGAGUAAAACAGUACGAUAGAUGUGCAUACACUUUUCUAACAUAAAAUAGCCAUAAAAGUGUAAGGUAUUGUGUUUAUUACUUUUAAGCAAAGUUUAAAACUCUUUCAUUCGAGUAACACGUUGUGUUCUCCACGUUUUCUCGGUGCCCCUGUGUUUACAGGAUACAAGCUGCAGCGCUUAAAACCCUAAAAAACAGGGUCUUUUCCCAAUAUAUUGAGGGCCCAGUAUAUUUGUGUCAGAAGAGCAACCACUAAAGAUGAAGAACCUGGGCCGGCUCCGUGGCCGCCGAGUGGUUAAGUUCGCC